rnacentral:ncRNA from 1 species
UAUUAGAUUCUUGUCAUCCACUAUUGGAAAUGUGAUCUCGUAUCCAGUAGAAAGCACAAUCUGAACGAAACACUGCAUCGUAUUUUUAGUCACUAUCUAUGCAAUAAAACCCUGACUUUUGAAAGGGUGCAAUUAUUAGUGCAAACCAAUCAUCUUCGGAUGUUUUUUGCUGACUCUGAACAACGCAGCAUUUCGACGAAUUGUCCGCUGCUGUUCCGAAAAAGUGUCUGCCCUAUCAACCUGAUGGUAGUCUAUUAGUCUACCAUGGCUAUUAUGGGUAACGGAUAGUAAGAGUUCGACUCCGGAGAGUUGGUCUCAGAAACGGCUAUUACAUCCAAGGAAGGCA